CCGUCAAGGCAGGGGCAGUCUUAGAAGAUCGGUGGGAAACAAGGGCACAAGUGCUAACUCAGGUCUUUGAAGCUCAGACAUUUGAAGCUAGUAGAAUCUUCUCUUCAUGCCAAUCCGGCUGCUGGCCACCAAGUGUUCAUUCCCCAAAGGCAUAUAUAGGGCUGCGAUAUCUGAUUGUUUGAUGGGCAUGUAGACAAAAGGAGAUGACUAAUCCAUGGACAUCAUUGCUGAUCAUCAUCAAAAUCAAAAGGAAAAGGAAGAGCCAGAUCGCAGAAUUUUCUUUGCACCCCAAUUCGACUGCUGGCCACCAAAUGGGCUUUUCCACAAAAGCAUAUAUAGGGCUGCGAUAUCUGAUCGUUUGACGGGCAUGUAUAAAACAACGUUGCUGAUCAUCAUCAAAAGGAAAAGGAAGUCAACUUGAUCAACUGUGUUCCGAAUAAUUUAAAUGGUAAAUUUCCAUUUAAAUUAACUGUGUUCCUUUAGUGCUUGAGUCAACUUGAUCUCCACACAAGCUCUCAAGUUUAAAUUUAUGCUCGACUCUAGCUAGGUACCCCAUAUAAUUUUGUCAUGUAAUAUUAACCUGUAUAGCUUUCCAU